GAUGAACGCUGGCGGCGUGCCUAAUACAUGCAAGUCGAGCGAACGGACGAGAAGCUUGCUUCUCUGAUGUUAGCGGCGGACGGGUGAGUAACACGUGGAUAACCUACCUAUAAGACUGGGAUAACUUCGGGAAACCGGAGCUAAUACCGGAUAAUAUUUUGAACCGCAUGGUUCAAAAGUAAAAGACGGUCUUGCUGUCACUUAUAGAUGGAUCCGCGCUGCAUUAGCUAGUUGGUAAGGUAACGGCUUACCAAGGCAACGAUGCAUAGCCGACCUGAGAGGGUGAUCGGUCACACUGGAACUGAGACACGGUCCAGACUCCUACGGGAGGCAGCAGUAGGGAAUCUUCCGCAAUGGGCGAAAGCCUGACGGAGCAACGCCGCGUGAGUGAUGAAGGUCUUCGGAUCGUAAAACUCUGUUAUUAGGGAAGAACAUAUGUGUAAGUAACUGUGCACAUCUUGACGGUACCUAAUCAGAAAGCCACGGCUAACUACGUG
rnacentral:rRNA from 1 species